GACGUAGGGCGCGAGCGUUGUCCGGAUUUAUUGGGCGUAAAGAGCUCGUAGGCGGUCUGUCGCGUCUGCUGUGAAAUCCCGAGGCUCAACCUCGGGCUUGCAGUGGGUACGGGCAGGCUAGAGUGCGGCAGGGGAGAAUGGAACUCCUGGUGUAGCGGUGGAAUGCGCAGAUAUCAGGAAGAACACCGAUGGCGAAGGCAGUUCUCUGGGCCGUAACUGACGCUGAGGAGCGAAAGCGUGGGGAGCGAACAGG
rnacentral:rRNA from 1 species